rnacentral:rRNA from 1 species
AACGAACGCUGGCGGCAGGCUUAACACAUGCAAGUCGAACGGGUGUAGCAAUACAUCAGUGGCAGACGGGUGAGUAACACGUGGGAACCUUCCUCGUUGUACGGAACAACUCAGGGAAACUUGAGCUAAUACCGUAUACGUCCGAGAGGAGAAAGAUUUAUCGCAAUGAGACGGGCCCGCGUCGGAUUAGCUGGUUGGUAAGGUAACGGCUUACCAAGGCGACGAUCCGUAGCUGAUCUGAGAGGAUGAUCAGCCACACUGGGACUGAGACACGGCCCAGACUCCUACGGGAGGCAGCAGUGGGGAAUCUUGGACAAUGGGCGCAAGCCUGAUCCAGCCAUGCCGCGUGAGUGAAGAAGGCCUUCGGGUUGUAAAGCUCUUUUGUCAGGGACGAUAAUGACGGUACCUGAAGAAUAAGCCCCGGCAAACUUCGUGCCAGCCGCCGCAGUAACAC